GCCGAACACAUGCUUGUGUGACCUUGCCUUAGUCACUAGGAGGUCAGAUGCCUGCCUCGUGACAAGGAACCAAUCAGAAGUUAGCUGGUGGCGCUAUGCUUCAUGGCUCUGGGUGUGCCUUACGGACAACUGCACAGCAAUGACAUACAGAGCAUAGCAACCACCCUGGGAGGGUCUAUGGGCCAUAACAACCAGUUGACCAAUCAACACAGGGCAAGCCCUCCAAGCCUGGAGCCACACCAAUCCUGAGCCUGUGCAUACCCCUAGACACUCCCCUUAUGCUGCCCUACAAGAUCUCUAUGCAGCUGCUUUGAGCUGUCUUUCCUAGCCAUCCGCCAUGGUGGGUGGAUGAAAGACCCGAGCUAACAUGGGGUUAGCUCAUUAAACAACUAUAAUAAAGCCUCAUGCAGUUUACAUCAAGCUCUCGAAUCCACCUGGUGAUUGGAGUGAUCUCAAUCCUGGGCUGAGAUCCUGGAGGCCUGAGUUUCUGGGGAUCUUACAUUUGGGGGCUCGUCCUGGAUUUGCAACCACCCCUCACCUGAGUGGAUUCGAUCUUGGAGAUUCCACCUCAACUGUGAUCGGCAGAUGUGCCCGGAGGAUCACAGACUGCUUCCCUGAGGACACCCAGGAGACACAUCUGAGUAUAUCAGUUGCUGACUACAGGCUGUCCCUAAGUAGACUGUGAGCCCUGGACUUGCUGUGGAUGUGAACCAGUCCAGCUGAUGUGGACACCUCCUGUCUCUGCAACAGAAUCUGCCAACCAGAAGCUCCUGAUGGAAUCCCCAUUGCCUAAAUUCCCUUUUUUGCUUUUGACUAGCAUUUCAGCCUUCCUGGGUCCCUAACUUCGUCCCAAAGUCAGCAGGAAGUAGCAUGGGAAAGAAUAUGUUGUCCAUCUUCCCUGGUUGAAAUGCUAAAUCAGAAGGAACUCCCUUGCAUGGGGAUGCCAAUAUCUCUC
rnacentral:lncRNA from 1 species